GUGUCAUAAGCAUCAGUUUUUCAGAUUGGGCCAUUUUCUGGCUGACAUUUCUAAAAGAGGAAUUUCUAUGAGACUGAGAUGUUUAGCAUGUUUAGCACUUUUUGUAUGUUUGUGAAUGUGGGUAGACUACCAUUAUUCAACAAAGACAAGGAAAAAUGUUUUUUCAUUCUCUGUCCCCUUUAAAAUAUAUCUCUUUCUGCUGAAACACAUGUUCCUAUAAUACAAGAAAGAGCUUUGCUUCAUUAGAUAAAUGGAUGAACAGGCAGAUAGAUUCACUUUUCUGUUAUUUUUAUUUCUAUAUUGCAGAUCACCAUAAAGAGGAGACCUCUUCUGUAUAUAAUCAACUUAAUUUUUCCAGUAUUUUGUUUCCUUGUGCUGGAUGUGGCAUCCUUUUUCAUAAAUGCAUCUGGAGGAGACAAGUUGAGUUUUAAAGUGACUUUACUGCUGUCCCUUUCCGUGUUACUGCAGAUUCUUAAUGACAGACUGGCAGCUUCUGUCAGUGAAAUCCCAUUAAUUGGGAUUUACUCAUGUUCAAUUUUUGUACUUAUUGGCUUAAGCAUUCUGGAGACCAUCUUUGUGAAUAUUCUGAUUGUUAAAGGAAAAGAGACCGAAUCAGCAAUAUCAAUAGAAACCAGAGAUGUUGUAAGUGGUCAAGAUGGACACAGCACCGACAGUUUCGCCUUGCGUGGUGUAAGAGACCAUAUGGACACAGAUACCAGUGGAAAUGAAGACUCAACAUGUACACAUGACACUGGAAAGAGGGCCUCACUGUGCUGGACCAGAGCAGCAA